rnacentral:rRNA from 1 species
AUUGAACGCUGGCGGCAUGCCUUACACAUGCAAGUCGAACGCGAAAGGGGGCAACCCUGAGUAGAGUGGCGAACGGGUGAGUAAUGCAUCGGAACGUGUCCUGUAGCGGGGGACAACCCCGAGAAAUCGGGGCUAAUACCGCAUACGUCCUACGGGAGAAAGUGGGGACCGCAAGGCCCCACACUAUAGGGGCGGCCGAUGCCGGAUUAGCUGGUUGGUGGGGUAAGAGCCCACCAAGGCGACGAUCCGUAGCUGGUCUGAGAGGAUGAUCAGCCACACAGGGACGGAGACACGGCCCAGACUCCUACGGGAGGCAGCAGUGGGGAAUUUUGGACAAUGGGCGCAAGCCUGAUCCAGCCAUGCCGCAUGAGUGAAGAAGGCCUUCGGGUUGUAAAGCUCUUUCGGCCGGGACGAAAUCGCUCUCGCUAAUAUCGGGAGUGGAUGACGGUACCGGAAUAAGAAGCACCGGCUAACUACGUGCCAGCAGCCGCAGUAAUAC